UAUGGUCUAUGAUGUGGUUGUUGAUCGGUUCUAUAUCUAUUAAAUUAUUGCAUAUCUAGUCAUCAACAAAAUAAUUAUUUCACAACAAAUCCAAGUUUUGGACUUCAAUGUGGCUACUAUUAUAGGCUACAAGGGGUAGCACUCACUUAUCCUUAACCCUUUACCAAACCCAUGAAAAAAAAAAUAUAUAUAUAUAUAUAGAUGAGCCAAUAUGCCAGAAUGUCCAUAACUUUUUCAUAGUUACACUGAUCUUGAAAUCUUUAACAAAUUGAAACAAACCAAAAUGAAAGACAAAAGUACCCAUUUCUACCUCUGGUUUCUUCUCCUUUUUUUUCUUGUGUUCAUUCUUUUGUUGAGAGCUUCAAGGAAGCAGAAGACAUCAAAAGAUCACAAUUCCCAAAUGGUUUCUUCUUUGGAACAUCCACUUCUUCAUACCAAAUUGAAGGAGCAAUUCUUGAAGAUGGUAAGAGUCUCAGCAACUAGGAUGUUUUCACUCGCAUUCAAGGUGGCCAAAGAAAUAGAGCAAAUGGAGAUGUAGCCAAUGGUCAUUAUCGCCGCUACUUGGAGGAAGAUUUGGAGAAGUCAAUCCAACUGGUAUCAUGUUGUAUAACAAAAUCAUUGACAAUCUUUUGCUCAAAGGAAUUGAGCCAUUUGUGAUGAUAAAUUAUAAUGACUUCCCUCAAGAACUCGAGGACAAAUAUGGGUCUUGGCUCAGUCCUCUUAUGCAAUAUGCCCAAUUCUCUCUCUCUCUCUCUCUCUCUCUCUCUCUCUCUCUCUCUCUCUCAAAAAUUCUAGGUACACAGAAUUAAAUCACAGAAAAAUACCCAUAAUGCUUCCUAUGGUUUAAUUUGUGUACUUAUUUUUUCUCAAUCAAGUUAGUGCCUACCUAAUAUUUAAUAUAAUUUUUAUUGCAAAUUCUAUCAUUAAAUCUUUGUCUAUAUAUAUAUAUAUAUAUAUGUUUGUGUUUUUGUAGGGAAGAUUUUGUGCAUUUUGUUGAAACUUGUUUCAAGAAUUUUGGGGAUCGAGUGUAGUACUGGAUCACAAUCAAUGAGUCGAACUUAUUUGUAGAAAGCGCCUACUUGUGGGAUCAUUUCCACUGGCUCAUAGUUCUGAACCUUGUAACAACUGUUCAUCUGGAAAUUCUAUCAUGGAGCAUCUUAUUGCAAUGCACAACAUGUUACUGUCACAUGCCAAGGGUGCUAAGCUCUACCAUGAGUAUUUUUAGGUAAUUAAAGUGAAAGCACUCUUAAUUAUAGUUGCACGUUGUUUUUGAUAAUUUGAUUAAUGAAAUCGAUGUUGGUGCAGCCAAAACACGGUGGAUUCAUGUAACUCCUUAGAAACUUAAAUAAAAAUUCAUUUUAUGCAUUAAUAAUAAAACUAUACAAGUAUUUGGGGGAUAGUUUAUUCAUAUGCAUACUGUUCUUUGUCACAUUUUUAUUUAUUU